AGUGGGGAAUCUUCCGCAAUGGACGAAAGUCUGACGGAGCAACGCCGCGUGUAUGAUGAAGGUCUUCGGAUUGUAAAGUACUGUCUUUGGGGAAGAACGAUUGACUUGAAAACAUUGAGUCAAUAUGACGGUACCCAAGGAGGAAGCCCCGGCUAACUACGUGCCAGCAGCCGCGGUAAUACGUAGGGGGCAAGCGUUGUCCGGAAUUAUUGGGCGUAAAGGGCGCGUAGGCGGGUAUUUAAGUCCGGUGUGAAAGAUCAGGGCUCAACCCUGAGAGUGCAUCGGAAACUGGGUAUCUUGAGGACAGGAGAGGAAAGUGGAAUUCCACGUGUAGCGGUGAAAUGCGUAGAUAUGUGGAGGAACACCAGUGGCGAAGGCGACUUUCUGGACUGUAACUGACGCUGAGGCGCGAAAGCGUGGGGAGCAAACAGGAUUAGAUACCCUGGUAGUCCACGCCGUAAACGAUGAGUGCUAGGUGUAGAGGGUAUCGACCCCUUCUGUGCCGCAGUUAACACAAUAAGCACUCCGCCUGGGGAGUACGGCCGCAAGGUUG
rnacentral:rRNA from 1 species